rnacentral:ncRNA from 13 species
CUUAGCUUAAUGGAUAGAGCAUCAACCUUCUAAGUUGAUGGUUACAGGUUCAAGUCCUGUAG